GACGAACCGAGCGAACGUUGUUCGGAAUCACUGGGCUUAAAGGGCGCGUAGGCGGGUGCUCAAGUCUGUGGUGAAAUCCUCCGGCUCAACCGGAGAACUGCCAUGGAUACUGGGUGUCUCGAGGGUGGUAGGGGUAUGCGGAACUAUCGGUGGAGCGGUGAAAUGCGUUGAUAUCGAUAGGAACUCCGGUGGCGAAAGCGGCGUGCUGGACCUUUUCUGACGCUGAGGCGCGAAAGCUAGGGGAGCGAAUGGG
rnacentral:rRNA from 1 species